rnacentral:rRNA from 1 species
GGGGGUGCAAGCGUUGUCCGGAAUCAUUGGGCGUAAAGCGUUCGUAGGCGGCACGUCAAGUUUGGUGUCAAAGCCCGGGGCUCAACUCCGGUCCGGCAUUGGAUACUGGCGAGCUAGAAUGCGGUAGAGGUGAAGGGAAUUCCUGGUGUAGCGGUGAAAUGCGUAGAUAUCAGGAGGAACACCGGUGGCGAAAGCGCUUCACUGGGCCGUUAUUGACGCUAAGGAACGAAAGCUAGGGUAGCAAA